AACCAAUCACUGCACUGGUCACUUUUUAAGUCAAAUUUCAAGAUGUCUGUUGCAUUUUAAGCCGCUCAUAUAUUUUGUGCAUUUUUGUAUAUCAACUGGAACUUAUAUAUUUCCAGGAUACUGAUACCGAUACCGAUACACAAGUAUCUCUGUUUAUCAUCUUUAUUAUCGUGAUCUUGAUAUAAGAAGGAAACAUUAAAUCAAUUAUUACAGUC